rnacentral:tRNA from 1 species
GGGGUUGUGGCUCAGUGGUAGAGCACUUGCCCUGAGUGCAUGAGGCACUGGGUUGGAUCCACAGCACCA